AGGGAAUAUUGCACAAUGGGCGAAAGCCUGAUGCAGCAACGCCGCGUGCGCGAUGAAGGCCUUCGGGUCGUAAAGCGCUUUUCGGGGAGAUGAGGAAGGACAGUAUCCCCGGAAUAAGGAUCGGCUAACUACGUGCCAGCAGCCGCGGUAAAACGUAGGAUCCGAGCGUUAUCCGAAUUCACUGGGCGUAAAGCGCGUGCAGGCGGUUCGGUAAGUUGGAUGUGAAAUCUCCCGGCUCAACUGGGAGAGGUCGUUCAAGACUGUCGGACUAGAGGACGGUAGAGGAAGGUGGAAUUCCCGGUGUAGUGGUGAAAUGCGUAGAUAUCGGGAGGAACACCUGUGGCGAAAGCGGCCUUCUGGGCCGUUCCUGACGCUCAGACGCGAAAGCUAGGGGAGCGAACGGGAUUAGAAACCCCGGUAGUCCUAGCCGUAAACGAUGUAGACUAGGCGUGGGUGGGGUAAAAGCCAUCCGUGCCGAAGCCAACGCGAUAAGUCUACCGCCUGGGGACUACGGCCGCAAGGUUA
rnacentral:rRNA from 1 species